rnacentral:rRNA from 1 species
GGGACUCUAUUGAGGCCCCGUAAUCGGAAUGAGUACACUUUAAAUCCUUUAACAAGGAUCCAUUGGAGGGCAAGUCUGGUGCCAGCAGCCGCGGUAAUUCCAGCUCCAAUAGCGUAUAUUAAAGUUGUUGCGGUUAAAAAGCUCGUAGUUGGUUCUGCGUGCCGCGCUGUUAGUUCUCCGCCUGCCGGUGUAACUGACAUGUCGCGGCAUGUCCUGUCGGUGGUGAACGGGUUUCCCGGUGCUUCGUUUGCUUCUUUAGCUGAUGUUUGUGCCGUGGUAAGUCCGUUUGCCGAUCUCUCCUACUCCGGUGCUCUUAAACGAGUGUCGAGGUAGGCCGACACGUUCACUUUGAACAAAUUAGAGUGCUUAAAGCAGGCUAAAAUAUCUGCCUUGAAUAGUGGUGCAUGGAAUGAUAAAAUAGGACCUCGGUUCUAUUUUGUUGGUUUUAGGAAUGUGAGGUAAUGAUCAAUGUGGACUGGCGGGGGCAUUCGUAUUGCGACGUUAGAGGUGAAAUUCUUGGAUCGUCGCAAGACGCACUAAAGCGAAAGCAU